rnacentral:miRNA from 1 species
AACAACAUCAUUGACCGGAAGGAAUGCCUUCCAGUCAAUGAGGCUUAAUAACUUCAUCGACAGGAAGGAAUCCCUUCCAGUCGAUGGUGUUGUU